AUGCCAGUGAUGAGAUCAUAAUCGAGAGUUAAUUUCUUUCCGUAGAUCCCAGUACAGCAAGCAGAGGGUAACUCCAUCAGCCCCGGCACAGCCAGGUUUUCCAUCUUUCCCACUCGGCGACUUGUCAAGUUCAAUUAACAUCAAGCCACAGGUGUAUGGAAAAAGAAAAUCAAAUGUCGAGUGAAGAGGACAAAAACAAACCCUGUGAGCCCAAGUGCUGUGAGCCCAAGUGCUGUGAGCCCAAGUGCUGUGAGCCCAGAUGUUGUGAGCCCAGAUGCCAACCAAGCUGCCUGAGAAAACUUCUGCAGCGGUGCUCUGAGAAAUGCGCUCCAACCUGCCCAGUCAAGUGUUUCCCGUGCCCUCCUCCGUGCCCCAAGCCUUGUCCAC